AGUAGUAAGCUGUUUGAUAAAUCCACAAUUCUACUGCCUCGGUAAACAUGGCUAACCCAAGGAGCUUACUCGGUCCGUUCCAAAUAUGUGGAUGACUGGAAAAAAGCAUGCUCUCUGCCCUCGUGACCUCUUCUUCCCUCUUUUUUCUGUUGUGUAAGCAAUUUUUUCUUCCUCAAGCAGUCGGUAGACUUCCUCCAUUCCCCAGAUCGACUUCUUCCUCACGUAAGCUCCUACUAGACAUUUAUGUGAUGGUCAUGAUUCUUGGUUAAAGAGGAAGAAAUUUGUGGAUUUAGAAGAUGGGAAUUUGGAUAGGAAUGAGAUUAAUUGAUAUAACUUCAUCUUUUAAUCAAGAAGUGAAUUUUGUUUUUAAGUAAACUACACUAAUGGUACAUUAGUUAUGUGAUUGAACGAGAUUUUUUCAAUUGUAAUGCUAACCAUGUAGAUGGUUUACUACUUUAAUUUUAUUUUGAUUUUAUUCUCUAUUGGAUUUAAAUGAGUAUGUUCUCUU